rnacentral:rRNA from 1 species
AACCUGGUUGAUCCUGCCAGUAGUCAUAUGCUUGUCUCAAAGAUUAAGCCAUGCAUGUCUCAGUACUAGCCAACCUAAGGCGAAACCGCGAAUGGCUCAUUAAAUCAGUCAUGAUUCAUUGGAUGUUGUAAAAUCCUUACUUGGAUAACUGUGGUAAUUCUAGAGCUAAUACGUGCAACUGAGCUCCGACCCCGCUCGUAAGGGCGGGGGAAGGGCGCUUUUAUUAGAUCAAAAACCGGUCGGACUUCGGUCCGUUCCAUAAAAGGUUAUGUGAUGACUCUGAAUAACUUAGCCGAGCGCUGAGGUCUUAGUACCGGCGCCGUAUCCUUCAAGUGUCUGCCUUAUCAGCUCUCGAUUGUAGGUUAUGCGCCUACACUGGCUGUAACGGGUAACGGGGAAUCGGGGUUCGGUUCCGGAGAGGGAGCCUGAGAAACGGCUACCACAUCUAAGGAAGGCAGCAGGCACGCAAAUUACCCAAUCCCGGCUCGGGGAGGUAGUGACGAAAAAUAACGAUGCGGGACUCUUCCGAGGCCUCGCAAUCGGAAUGAGUCCAAUCUAAAUACAUGGUCGAUGACCUAUUGAAGGGCAAGUCUGGUGCCAGCCGCCGCGGUAAUUCCAGCUCCAAUAGCGUAUAUUAAAGUUGCUGCGGUUAAAAAGCUCGUAGUUGGAUUUCUGAUGCGGACCGGGAGCCCAUCCAAGGCGCGCCCCUCGUCGCGCACGAGCGUUUUCCCUGCGCUCUUUCCGUCCUCGAAACCGAGCAGCGCGGUCGGUAGCUCGCCUUCGGGCCCGUCUUCCCACCCCUCUCUCUCUGGUCGGUCGUUCGUCGGGAAGAACCGGCGUUCGAGCCCUCGCCGGAUUUCGUUUCGGUUCGCCGAUUCAAUCCAUUCCAAAAGCGGGGUGUCUCGGGCGUGGUCGGUUACCCUUCGUCUUUCCUCUUCGGGGGAAAAGCGGCCGUCCGCUAAGGGGAGUCUGCGGGAGUCGACGGGAUUCCGAGACGGGCGCUAACGCCGGCCGCGUCUUCGGCGUAGGGGGAUUAAAAAGCGGAGAGGGUGCGCUAAAGGGUUCGCUCCGGGCGGGUAAGCGCGCCCGGUGGUUAACUACCCGGCUCCGGAUUGAAAAAGCCGUCGGCUCUCACGGGGUGCUCUUCACCGAGUGUCCCGCGUGGCCGACAACUUCACUUUGAAAAAAUUAGAGUGCUCAGAGCAGGCAAAAUCUUAAAGCCUGAAUGGUAGUGCAUGGAAUGAUGGAACAGGACCUCGGUUCUGCCUUUUUCUACCCGGUUUUUCUGGACCGAGGUAAUGAUUAACGGGAACAGACGGGGGCAUUAGUAUUGCGACGCUAGAGGUGAAAUUCUUGGACCGUCGCAAGACUAACUACUGCGAAAGCAUUUGCCAAGAAUGUUUUCAUUAAUCAAGAACGAAAGUUAGAGGAUCGAAGGCGAUCAGAUACCGCCCUAGUUCUAACCAUAAACGAUGCUAACUGGCGAUCCGUCGGCGUCAUUCCCACGACUCGACGGGGAGCCCCCGGGAAACCAAAGUCUUUGAGUUCCGGGGGAAGUAUGGUUGCAAAGCUGAAACUUAAAGGAAUUGACGGAGGGGCACCACCAGUAGUGGAGCCUGCGGCUUAAUUUGACUCAACACGGGAAACCUCACCAGGCCCAGACACUGGAAGGAUUGACAGAUUGAGAGCUCUUUCUCGAUUCAGUGGGUGGUGGUGCAUGGCCGUUCUUAGUUGGUGGAGCGAUCUGUCUGGUUGAUUCCGAUAACGAACGAGACUCUACCCUGCUAACUAGUCGGCGAAUCGUCUCCCGAGACGGGUUCUUCCGUGGGCGAGUCGGGGUGGCUCUUUUCCCCUUUUUCCGUUUUCGGGCCGCGAGGGCCGGAGUCGCUUUCGGGCGGCGAAGGCUCGCGUUUGGUUCGGGGCGGUUCUCGGGGAGUUUAGGGGUUUACUAACCGUUCUCCGCGCGUUGAACCCAGCGAGGGGCGUUCGUCGCAACUUCUUCUUAGAGGGAUCGGCGGCGUCCAGCCGCAAGAGAUAGAGCAAUAACAGGUCUGUGAUGCCCUUAGAUGUUCUGGGCCGCACGCGCGCUACACUGUAAAAAUCAGCGUGCUUUCCCACUCCGAAAGGAGCGGGUAACCCCCUGAAAUUUUUACUCGAUUGGAAUAGCGGAUUGCAAGUAUUCUGCUUGAACGAGGAAUUUCCAGUAAGCGCGAGUCAUAAGCUCGCGUUGACUAAGUCCCUGCCCCUUGUGCACACCGCCCGUCGCUACUACCGAUUGAAUGAUUCAGUGAGGGCAUCGGACUGGCGCCCUCGGUAGCCUUCGGUUCGCAAAUCAAACCCCGUUUCGGCGGGGGCGGCCGGAGGCACCCCGGGCUGACGGAAAGAUGUCCGAACUCGAUCAUUUAGAGGAAGUAAAAGUCGUAACAAGGUUCCCGUAGGUGAACCUGCGGAAGGAUCA